GGACUCGAAGAUGAAUUUGAUGACAAUUUGAGCCACGUUCACGAUCUCUUGCAAGAGCCUGAGGCAGUAGAUGAGGAGUUAAAUAUUUAUGACAAGAAAUGUUAUGAUGGAAACAAUGAUUUGCGGGGAAAUAAAAAUAAGCAAGAUGCUGAGAAAUUGGCGAUUGAAUUACUAGCAACAAGAGCCUUCACUGCAGUCCAGCUAAGGAAGAAAUUGAUUGGCA
rnacentral:misc_RNA from 1 species